GAUGGCAUCAAUUAUCAUGAGACACCAAUACUAUGCAUCAUCAUCAUCACCAUCAUCAUGGGUGUUUAUCUGGUUUUCGCUGUGUUCAUGAUCAAGUUUAACUCAGGACCUUCACCUCUGUUCAAGAUUCGAGGUGAAGAAAACCUCAAACUCAAGAGAUCAAAUGAACAGAGAGAUGGUAUCUGGAGUGAAUGUGUGUACUCCAGGGUGAAGCUUCACUGAACUGAAGCCAUUACGACUUUGAUGCCACAUGUCUAGACAUGAACUUAUUACUGUAGCUUUGAAAUGUUUAGGCUGUUCUCUAGCUCUUUCUAACAUUAUCCUGCUCGAUCGGUUUAAAACCUGCUCUUUUUUUCUUUGUUUUGUUCUAAAUAAAAUUCUUAUUAUCUAUUCUGUAAGACAGAGGCGUGUGGGAUGAAAGCUGACAUGUUGAUGUAAUCUCUUGCUCACUUUCUUUCUCUUUCUGUCAUUUUUAAAUGAAAGACCAG